UUGUCGGUUGCGGCUCAUCGUAUGGCAGUUUGCUGUGUAGUUAUGCCAGCUGCCUAGCGAAGGGCAACAAAUGACUG
rnacentral:pre_miRNA from 1 species